GCCGGGGUAGCUCAGAGGCAGAGCAACUGAUUCGUAAUCAGUAGGUCGCGGGUUCGACUCCCGCCCCCGGCUCCA
rnacentral:tRNA from 2 species